rnacentral:rRNA from 1 species
GUCCAAAAUCUAGCCUAAAACUAUCGUAUAUCCCUACCACCUAGCUUAAUUAAAAUAAAACAUUUUAUCUUUAUAGUAGAGGUGAUCAAAAAAUAACUAAGAGCUUCAGAAAUAGUACCGCAAGGGAAAGAUGAAAUAAAAAUGAAACAAAUUUAAAACAAAUUAAAGCAGAGAUUUUCUCUCGUACCUUUUGCAUCAUGGUCCAGCUAGUAUAAUCAAGCAAAACGAAAUUUUAGUUUGCACCCCCGAAACUAAGCGAGCUACUUCAAAACAGCCAAAAGAGCCAACCCGUCUCUGUAGCAAUAGAGUGGGAAGAUUUUCAAGUAGAAGUGAUAAGCCUAACGAGCUUAGAGAUAGCUGGUUAUUCAGGAGAAGAAUAUUAGUUCUACCUUAAAUUUUCUUAUAAUAUCAAAUAAAUCCUAAGAUUUAAGAGCUAUUCAAUUAAGGCACAGCUUACUUGAAACAGGACACAACCUAUACAACAGGGUAAACAUCAAUUAUUAUAUUAAGUGGGCCUGAAGGCAGCCACCUUUAAAAAAGCGUUAAAGCUUAUUAUUAUUAAUUAACAAAUACCAAAAAUUAAAAUGAACCCUUACCCCCUACUGAAUAAUUCCAUACCCUUAUGGAAAUCAUCAUGCUGGAACUAGUAACAAGAAUACGAAAUUCUCUAAAAUGCAAGUAUAAACCAAAAUGGACACUCCACUGGUAAUUAACGAAAAUGAACAAACUAUAGUAACUUAAACAAGAAAAACCUAUAAAUUUCCUCGUUAACCUAACACCAGAGCAUUACUAGAAAGAUUAAAAGAGAAAGAAGGAACUCGGCAAACACUAACCCCGCCUGUUUACCAAAAACAUCGCCUCUUGAAGAGUUAUAAGAGGUCCAGCCUGCCCAGUGAAAAUUUAACGGCCGCGGUACCCUGACCGUGCGAAGGUAGCAUAAUCACUUGUUCUUUAAAUAGGGACUAGUAUCAACGGCAUCACGAGGGUUACACUGUCUCCUUUCUCCAAUCAGUGAAACUGAUCUCCCCGUGAAGAAGCGGGGAUAUAAUCAUAAGACGAGAAGACCCCAUGGAGCUUUAAAUUUACAGCAACUCAGUCAAACAAACCUUUAUAAUCCACAGAGCCAUGCAUGCCAAUUUUAGGUUGGGGUGACCGCGGAGCAAAAAUAAACCUCCACGACGAAAAGAACUAAAUCUUUAUCCAAGAGCUACAACUCUAAGAAUUAGAAUACUAACGACAAUGACCCGAUAAUCGAUCAACGGACCAAGUUACCCUGGGGAUAACAGCGCAAUCUACUUCGAGAGCUCAUAUCGACAAGUAGGCUUACGACCUCGAUGUUGGAUCAGGGUAUCCCAGUGGUGCAGCCGCUACUAAUGGUUCGUUUGUUCAACGAUUAAAACCCUACGUGAUCUGAGUUCAGACCGGAGUAAUCCAGGUCGGUUUCUAUCUAUAAAGUGUUACUCUUAGUACGAAAGGAUCAGAAUAACAUGGCCAAUGUAGUCCCAAGCCAUACCCUACACUAAUGACACCAACUCAAUUAGGUGUAACCUACCCCUUAAUUAAAAACAAUAAUUU